rnacentral:piRNA from 1 species
UACCACUGGAUGUAGUUAAGAAGU